rnacentral:rRNA from 1 species
UACGGAGGGUGCGAGCGUUGUCCGGAAUCAUUGGGCGUAAAGGGCGCGUAGGUGGCCCGGUCAGUCUUUGGUGAAAGUCCGGGCUCAACCCCGGAUCUGCCGUGCCGACUGUCAAACUCGAGGGCUGUAGAGGCAGACGGAAUUCCGGGUGUAGCGGUGGAAUGCGUAGAGAUCCGGAGGAAGACCGGUGGCGAAGGCGGUCUGCUGGGCAGUUUCUGACACUGAUGCGCGACAGCGUGGGGAGCAAACAGG